rnacentral:rRNA from 1 species
CCUCAAACGUUGCCUCGGCGGGCAGCCGGAGCCCAGCUCCGGCGCCCGGAGCCGCCUUCACGGCGCGCCCCGCCCGCCGGCGGACCACUAAACUCUAUUUCAACGACGUCUCUUCUGAGUGGUACAAGCAAAUAAUCAAAACUUUUAACAACGGAUCUCUUGGUUCUGGCAUCGAUGAAGAACGCAGCGAAAUGCGAUAAGUAAUGUGAAUUGCAGAAUUCAGUGAAUCAUCGAAUCUUUGAACGCACAUUGCGCCCGCCAGCAUUCUGGCGGGCAUGCCUGUUCGAGCGUCAUUUCAACCCUCAAGCACCGCUUGGCGUUGGGGCCCUACGGCUUCCGUAGGCCCCGAAAUACAGUGGCGGACCCUCCCGGAGCCUCCUUUGCGUAGUAACAUACCACCUCGCACUGGGAUCCGGAGGGACUCCUGCCGUAAAACCCCCCAAUUUAUCACGGGUUGACCUCGGAUCAGGUAGGAAUACCCGCUGAACU